rnacentral:rRNA from 1 species
AUUGAACGCUGGCGGCAGGCCUAACACAUGCAAGUCGAACGGUAACAGGAAGAAGCUUGCUUCUUUGCUGACGAGUGGCGGACGGGUGAGUAAUGUCUGGGCAACUGCCUGAUGGAGGGGGAUAACUACUGGAAACGGUAGCUAAUACCGCAUAACGUCGCAAGACCAAAGAGGGGGACCUUCGUGCCUCUUGCCAUCGGAUGUGCCCAGAUGGGAUUAGCUAGUAGGUGGGGUAACGGCUCACCUAGGCGACGAUCCCUAGCUGGUCUGAGAGGAUGACCAGCCACACUGGAACUGAGACACGGUCCAGACUCCUACGGGAGGCAGCAGUGGGGAAUAUUGCACAAUGGGCGCAAGCCUGAUGCAGCCAUGCCGCGUGUAUGAAGAAGGCCUUCGGGUUGUAAAGUACUUUCAGCGGGGAGGAAGGGAGUAAAGUUAAUACCUAUGCUCAUUGACGUUACCCGCAGAAGAAGCACCGGCUAACUCCGUG